rnacentral:rRNA from 1 species
GACGAACGCUGGCGGCGUGCUUAACACAUGCAAGUCGAGCGGUAAGGCCCUUUCGGGGGUACACGAGCGGCGAACGGGUGAGUAACACGUGGGUGACCUGCCCUCAGCUCUGGGAUAAGCCCGGGAAACUGGGUCUAAUACUGGAUAUGACUCCACGGUGCAUGCCGUGGGGUGGAAAGCCUUGUGCGGCUGAGGAUGGGCCCGCGGCCUAUCAGCUUGUUGGUGGGGUGAUGGCCUACCAAGGCGACGACGGGUAGCCGGCCUGAGAGGGCGACCGGCCACACUGGGACUGAGACACGGCCCAGACUCCUACGGGAGGCAGCAGUGGGGAAUCUUGCGCAAUGGGCGAAAGCCUGACGCAGCGACGCCGCGUGAGGGAUGACGGCCUUCCGGUUGUAACCUCUUCAGCUCCGACGAAGCGGAAGNGACGGGUAGGAGCAGAAGAAGCACCGGCCAACUACGUGCCAGCCGCCGCU